rnacentral:lncRNA from 1 species
AGGGACUGCGGGUCUGGAUAUUCCGUCGUGGACUACGUUUCCCACUGACGACGGAGAAAACUUGGUCCUUUGGCUCCGCGCUGCGCGUGACCUGCAGUCACCUGAGCAAGAGGGCGGCGUGGGUCGCUGCGGGAGCCCCUACAGCCCCAGCCCGCAGCCCACGUGGCACCCUACAGGGCUGUGAGAGUGGGGCUGCUGGAGGCGUUCAGAGCGCGGAGGCCCCAGGCGCGGGCCGGGCUCUCUCCCGCCUCCUCAGGCCCGGGGGUGCUGGAGCUGCCGAGUGUCUUUGCUCAGUUCAAAAGCCACAGAAGAAGUUCUGGACGAUGUGGGCCUUCAAUCUUCUAAGAUGGGAAUAGAAAGAAGAGGAUCUACCCAGACCAGGACCCUGCUGCCCAAUCUCAGCUCUGGCUUUCUGGAUCUGUGCUUCUCUGGUAGAGGAACCCUGAGGACUGAUCUACUCUUGCAGUUCUAAAACCAUGGCCCAUGACAUGACUUUUCUAAGCCAGAUGUAAUUACAUCAUUGGAGCAAGGAAAAGAGCCCUGGAUGAUUGUAAGGGAAGAAAAAGGAAGAUGGUGUACAGGAUCUUAUUUAUGAGGAACUUCAAGUUCUUCCACUCAGGAAUAAGUCUGGAUGAAGAUGAUUUCCUAGUGAUAUCCCAGCUCUUUACAGACAUCUUGGAUUACAGAACCUGUGGAAGGUAAAGGUCUCUUAAUCAACAACAUCUAAUGUUAGAACGGAAAUUAAGGGAAUUGGGAAAGAGGGAAGGGCAGCAAGAUAAAUUAGAGAAGUACUCCUUUAGAAGCCAGGCGCGGUGGCCCAUGCCUGUAAUCCCAGCACUUUGGGAGGCCAAGGCAGGUGGAUCACUUGAGCCCAGGAAUUU